CCUACGGGAGGCAGCAGUGGGGAAUAUUGGGCAAUGGAGGAAACUCUGACCCAGCGACGCCGCGUGCGGGAUGAAGGCCUUCGGGUUGUAAACCGCUUUCAGUAGGGAAGAAGCGAAAGUGACGGUACCUACAAAAGAAGCACCGGCUAACUAUGUGCCAGCAGCCGCGGUAAUACAUAGGGUGCAAGCGUUGUCCGGAAUUAUUGGGCGUAAAGAGCUCGUAGGUCGUUUGUUACGUCGGAUGUGAAAACCUGAGGCUCAACCUCAGGCCUGCAUUCGAUACGGGCAAACUAGAGUUUGGUAGGGGAGACUGGAAUUCCUGGUGUAGCGGUGGAAUGCGCAGAUAUCAGGAGGAACACCAAUGGCGAAGGCAGGUCUCUGGGCCAAUACUGACACUGAGGAGCGAAAGUCUGGGGAGCGAACAGGAUUAGAUACCCUGGUAGUCCAGACCGUAAACGGUGGGCACUAGUUGUGGGAACCUUCCACGGUUUCUGCGACGCAGCUAACGCAUUAAGUGCCCCGCCUGGGGAGUACGAUCGCAAGNUUAAACUUAAUGAAUUGACGG
rnacentral:rRNA from 1 species